UGAGGAAUAUUGGUCAAUGGGCGCAAGCCUGAACCAGCCAUGCCGCGUGCAGGAUGAAGCAUCUAUGGUGUGUAAACUGCUUUUGUACGGGAAGAAACCACCCCUCGUGAGGGGUAUUGACGGUACCGUAAGAAUAAGGAUCGGCUAACUCCGUACCAGCAGCCGCGGUAAUACGGAGGAUCCAAGCGUUAUCCGGAUUUACUGGGUUUAAAGGGUGCGUAGGUGGGUCUGUAAGUCAGUGGUGAAAUCUUCGAGCUUAACUCGGAAACUGCCAUUGAUACUAUAGGUCUUGAAUUAUUGGGAAGUAACUAGAAUAUGUAGUGUAGCGGUGAAAUGCUUAGAGAUUACAUGGAAUACCGAUUGCGAAGGCAGGUUACUACCAAUGGAUUGACGCUGAUGGACGAAAGCGUGGGUAGCGAACA
rnacentral:rRNA from 1 species